CCUACGGGAGGCUGCAGUGAGGAAUAUUGGUCAAUGGGCGCGAGCCUGAACCAGCCAAGUAGCGUGAAGGAUGACUGCCCUACGGGUUGUAAACUUCUUUGAUAAAGGAAGAAAGUGAGGCACGUGUGCCGUUUUGUAUGUAUGUUAUGAAUAAGGAUCGGCUAACUCCGUGCCAGCAGCCGCGGUAAUACGGAGGAGCCGAGCGUUAUCCGGAUGUAUUGGGUUUAAAGGGAGCGUAGAUGGGUUGUUAAGUCAGUGGGGAAAGUUUGCGGCUCAACCGUAAAAUUGCAAUUGAUACUGGCAGCCUUUCGUACAGUUGCGGUAGGCGGCAUUCGUGGUGUAGCGG
rnacentral:rRNA from 1 species